AAAUGUAAUAUUAUAUACACUCACGGUAUCUACCAUCUCCACCCCAGUCAAGAUUGACAAACAAGGCUUUUUGGUUUGGUUUGAUUUGGUUUUGGUUUUAGUUUGAAUGGAAUAUAUCAAGAAUGUAGAAGUACUCAGAAGGCAUGGAAUGAUUGCAUGGAAGAAGAAAAUGGUUAAAGUUGCUUGACUGCAGUUCUGAGUGUGUAGAAGACAUAUAAAUGUGGGGUUUCCACUCAUUUGUCUCUGUGCCCAUGUUCUACAACCUCAGUGGGGUAGCGCAAUGCAGUUGCAACCUUGCAACAGUGUAUACACCUUGGCAUCUGCAUUGGAUUACCAUCCUAAGCCAUUAGGACAUUAAAAUUGUGCUGGAAAUACUUGUAAAUUAUUUACAGUUUGUGUUAAUUUCACGCUUCAAGUGCCUGCAGAUCAGGGUCAAGGAAAUGAGCCCUUGGCUGUAAUCAGAAGGAAUGACAUAGGUCAUGGGGAAAUGGAUCCCAGGAGGUAAAGACAAUUAUAAAAGGAAGAAAUGUAUUGAAGUAGAGAGAUCAAAUUCCUGCCUUGCCAUAGCAUCAUUACUAGAUCUGCAUGGCAAACAUCAUUUUCAUUGCCAGGCGAGUUUAAAUUGAUGGAUUGGACCCACCAAUGAAACAAGCUGAAGGAAUCAUCUUGCCUGAGCAAACCCAACAUAUACAGUCUGAGGAAUGGGCAGCAGGAGAUCUAUAUGAUUGGGCAACUUUUUAUGGCUGCUGGGAAAAGUGAUGGGAUGUGAUGGGACAUGGCUGCUGUAUAAAAUGUUUAGCAAGCUCCCCAGGCACCUAUAGUCAAAGCAAUUCCAUCUGUAUUUUUGUUCCCCUCUGAGUGGCCAUUUCCCUGGUGCUAUCAAGCAAGAGCGAGUGGUGACAGCUUUACAAACCAGGAGCUCCAGCAGAAACAUGUGGUUAUUUACUAGCUUCAUAACUACAUCUAUUUGAGAGGAAGCAAGUAAAUCAUACAUUUCCAAAUUGUCUGAUCACACUGUGCAUCUCUAUGUUCCCAGGUUGCUUGUGUAUAGUGAGGUGGUAGGAAAUAGUGACAAAAAAGAAAUCUGUUCAGUUAGCAUUCCUCUGGGUAAAUAAACAUUUGAUGCUAGGUAAUGUCUUCCUUAUU
rnacentral:lncRNA from 1 species